CGAGAACGUAAUUUGUUGUGGACAAAUGUGUACUUAUAUUACAUUAUUAUCAGCCAGUGGUGUGCCCAAAAAUGUUCAAUGGGGGUGGGAUAUGUGCUGUUAGUAGUAAUAUACAUUUCAAUGAAUUGUGGUGAUUCGACGACAAAAAUAGCUUGGAAAUGUUGUACGCGUUGGAAUCAAUUUCGAAAUUGAAUGCUGGAUCAUCGAAUUCAUUCAUUCGGCGAUAUUUGCCAUUAUAACACCACAUAUCCAAAAUGGGCCAACUAAAAUUGCUUUUGGAAGAUAAAAUGAAAUCGGGUUUCUUUCGUUCUAUUAAAUUAAUUUAACAAUUAUUAUAUAUUUACUAAUUUGUAAAAAAAAAUGUCUUACUUGACGUAGUCCAUGAUAAAUGCAAAGCCAAAAAAAUAAAAUUGCACAAAUAAAUGUUAUUUGGAAGACAUCAUCUAACAUUCUAAUUAGUUGAUUACUUGUGAGAAACGUCAAAGGAAAAAUUGGAUCUAAAAAGUAAAAACAUAUAACUAAUGUAAAUUUUACAUUUAAAUGUGUUCCUCAGAUUUCAUUAGAAUGCUUUUUAAUUAUACAUACCAUUAAACAAUAUUAACAGUGGCAAUAAGAUAACAGUCCAUUUUUGUUCAUACGACCAAUCUACCACUGGAAAUUUCCUUAAUGAAUUUGCAAAGGUACACUAAAAGCAAGUUACACAUUUCAUUGAAAAUAUUCAUAAAGUCAUUAUUAAAGCUAUACUUACAAGCACUGCAAAAGCUUGGAGUAAAAAAAUUAGUCUGAACCAUACUUCCAAAUGGGUGUAGUCUGGAUUGUACGUUUUAUA